CAAGAUGUAGCUUAAACAAAGCGUCUGGCCUACACCCAGGAGAUUUCAUACUAAACUGACCAUCUUGA
rnacentral:tRNA from 1 species